UCUCGGCUUAUCACCGGCAGUCCCCCUAGAGUGCCCAACUGAAUGAUGGCAACUAAGGGCGAGGGUUGCGCUCGUUGCGGGACUUAACCCAACAUCUCACGACACGAGCUGACGACAGCCAUGCACCACCUGUGCAAGUGCCCCGAAGGGAAGCCGUGUUUCCACGGCGGUCACCUGCAUGUCAAGCCCAGGUAAGGUUCUUCGCGUUGCGUCGAAUUAAACCACAUAAUCCACCGCUUGUGCGGGUCCCCGUCAAUUCCUUUGAGUUUUAACCUUGCGGCCGUACUCCCCAGGCGGUCGACUUCACGCGUUAGCUUCGACACUGAGCACCGAGUUGUGCCCAACGUCCAGUUCGCAUCGUUUAGGGCGUGGACUAC
rnacentral:misc_RNA from 1 species